rnacentral:ncRNA from 1 species
CUACGGACUUAAUUGGAUUGAGCCUUGGUAUGGAAACUUACUAAGUGAUAACUUUCAAAUUCAGAGAAACCCUGGAAUUAAUAAAAAUGGGCAAUCCUGAGCCAAAUCACGUUUUCCGAAAACAAACAAAGGUUCAGAAAGCGAAAAUAAAAAAGGAUAGGUGCAGAGACUCGAUGGAAGCUGUUCUAACGAAUGGAGUUGAUUGUCUUACAUUGGUAGAGGAAUCCUUCUAUCGAAACUUCAGAAAAGAGGAAGGAUAAACCUGUAUACAUAGAAGAAUUGGUAUGAAUCGAUUCCAUAAUCAAAUAUUCAUUGAUCAAAGCAUUCACGCAUAAUCUGAUAGAUCUUUUGAAUAACUGAUGAAAUCGGACGAGAAUAAAGAUAGAGUCCCGUUCUACAUGUCAAUACCGG